rnacentral:rRNA from 1 species
GACGUAGGGCGCGAGCGUUGUCCGGAUUUAUUGGGCGUAAAGAGCUCGUAGGCGGUCUGUCGCGUCUGCUGUGAAAACUCAGGGCUUAACCCUGAGCUUGCAGUGGGUACGGGCAGACUAGAGUGCGGUAGGGGAGACUGGAAUUCCUGGUGUAGCGGUGAAAUGCGCAGAUAUCAGGAGGAACACCGGUGGCGAAGGCGGGUCUCUGGGCCGGAUACUGACGCU